GGUUUUUCAAACUGAUGUGCUUUAUUUAAAAUUCAAACGGUGUGAAGGGAGACCUGCUGAUUGACAUCGGCUCUGGCCCCACUAUCUAUCAGCUCCUCUCCGCUUGUGAAUCCUUUAAGGAGAUCGUCGUCACUGACUACUCAGACCAGAACCUGCAGGAGCUGGAGAAGUGGCUGAAGAAAGAGCCAGAGGCCUUUGACUGGUCCCCAGUGGUGACCUAUGUGUGUGAUCUUGAAGGGAACAGAGUCAAGGGUCCAGAGAAGGAGGAGAAGUUGAGACAGGCGGUCAAGCAGGUGCUGAAGUGUGAUGUGACUCAGAGCCAGCCACUGGGGGCCGUCCCCUUACCCCCGGCUGACUGCGUGCUCAGCACACUGUGUCUGGAUGCCGCCUGCCCAGACCUCCCCACCUACUGCAGGGCGCUCAGGAACCUCGGCAGCCUACUGAAGCCAGGGGGCUUCCUGGUGAUCAUGGAUGCGCUGAAGAGCAGCUACUACAUGAUUGGUGAGCAGAAGUUCUCCAGCCUCCCCCUGGGCCGGGAGGCAGUAGAGGCUGCUGUGAAAGAGGCUGGCUACACAAUCGAAUGGUUUGAGGUGAUCUCGCAAAGUUAUUCUUCCACCAUGGCCAACAACGAAGGACUUUUCUCCCUGGUGGGGAGGAAGCUGAGCAGACCCCUGUGAUGCCUGUGACUUCAAUUAAAGCAAUUCCUUUGACCUGUC
rnacentral:sRNA from 1 species